ACCCCCUUUCUCUUCUACCUGCUUCUACCUGAGGGGAGACAUGCGGACUCUGUGAAUCAGGAGAAUCGACUUCAAAGAUAAGCUGAUUUAUACACAACUUUUCACCUAAGGAAAGCUGAUAUGGUGAUGUUAAGUGCUUAGUGAGGCAGGAAUGCUGAAGGAGGCCCGGCUGUCUGUGAUGUAUUGCACAGAAAGGGCUGUGUAUUAUUUCAUCUGCCUCCAAAUGCUCAAUCUUCUCUGCUCUCUCAUGCUGUUUUCAGAGGUGAAACCAACCAAUGGAUACUCAGGAAUUCACUAAGGACCCACCUACGUCUUAGAAACGCUGCAGUCUUCACUCAGUGGGCAUCGAGGAGGCCAGGAGAAUGGUGGAAGAACUCACGGCUGACGAAGUUGUUGCAGCACUUCUGCAAAGCAGUGACGAGGAUGACGGAGUUUCAGAGCCUGUUGGUUUUGUUUCCUAAUAUGAAGAGUAAUACCAAAGUAAGAGCGAUCCAUGAGAAGAUUAAGAGGAUUCCCAGCUGCCAGGGCACAGUGAACCACACUUGGCAUCUAUCCAAAACCCACACAUGUAAAUAGUGUGUUUUUAUAUAUAAUACAUAAAAAAAAGAAACUGUUGUAAUGCUAAUUUUUCAUUUGCACACAUCUCAUGAAGCUUGGUAUGUAGUAUGAAGUCAUUAUUCAGUUCCAUUUUAUCUCAGUCGCUCUAACAUUUGGUGAAAGUAGAGUGACAGACAACAAUAUUACAAAAUUUCAUUUUAGACAUUUAUUAUACAUUUAUCUACUGCUGCAUAUAUUCUACUACUUUUGUGAAUGUAAGAUUUUGGUAAACCCAUUUCAAGCACCAAAACAAUUCAUCCACAUGUGUAAAGGUAUGUUUGGACAAAAGAUUUGAAGAAUUUCAAAGAUUGUUUCAGCUUUAGGGAAAAAUUAUGUCUUUACACAGUGCUCUAGGACAAAUGGGUGCCUCACUUUAGAAAGAGAUGAGAUUUUUCUGCAAAUUUUGAUAUAAAACACUCGUAUAAUGUUAUAUGAAAGCAACUUUUAAAAGGUGAAAUUUAAGAAGAUACGAAAAAUUCAAACAAAUGCCCUUAGACCUCAAACAUUGUAUUGCUCAUCAUUUCUCUCCCUGGUGCAUCAAGCUGCAAUAAAUGCUUCUCCUUAAGACAUCUGAAGUCUCCUGAGAACUCAUUUCUUCAGCUAAUAAGAUUUUCCAUCACAAAUAGGCUUCGUGGACAGGAUCCCAACAAAACAAGACUGAAAAGUGCCUUGCUUUGCCAUGUCUGUGUUUGACAGGAUCAUAAAGAAACUUUGUAUAUUUUUCUGCAAUCUGGCUGUGAACAUCUAAGGCUUGAAAGGGAAAAAAAUUCAGAGAUCGUUGUCAGAAGUGUGUCAGCAGGCCUAUUGACUGAUUUCUCUAGGAGCAUUGCUCGGAACCAAUGUGUCAUACAAACCUGCCAGUGGAUGUUCAAUAAAAAUUGCUAAGUUUAAUGUGAAGCAGAAAAAAAGGGAGGAGUCAAGUGAGAUAAGGUGUGGUUUGGUUCAAUGGUGCUUUAAUCUCAUGCAUAUUCCAUAACUUAAAUGUGUUAAGUUAAACAUUGAUGUCAAUGGUUGGUUGGUAAAUUUGGAAGAAAAGACUGUGAUGUGUGUUUUUUAACCCCCACAGCACCACCAAAAGGGUGAUUGUUUCUGCGGCAACUUUGGGUUGUACCUAACACAGAAUAAGACCCACAGUGAAGUUAUACCCUGGAGAAGAUGUUCUGAGGCAGCUGAAAAAAUGCUUACUUCGGUUUAAUCAAAACCAUAUGACCUCUGGAGAACCUUUAUAUGCAGAUACUUACUGAAUACAGACUAAUUGAAAGAGAAUAAUUUCUCUGAAAGAGAAAAAUAGAGAAUUCCUUCACACCUGGCGCACACAAGAAGACUUAAUUGAUACUAAACACAGGCAAGAGCCCACACAUAAUGAGACAAGAAUAGAUUUCAUAAAAAUGUAGUCCUUUAGUUAUUUAAGAUCUGGCAACAACAGAACAUCACAUUCUUACAGAUUAAACUAAGCCAUGUUUUCUCUCAUAUAAAGUCACUGGAACUCUUUUUUGUGUUGUGCAAUAUACUGUAUUUACUGUGUGUUAAUUAUUGCUGGAUAUUAGCCAACAAAACAAAAAUAAUUACGUCUACUGCACUUCUAGAAGAAAAAAGGGACUGGAGCAUACUCAUAGUUCUGAAGCCUUUAAUGUUGCAAACAGAUUUUCCAACAUUAUUGUGUCGUUUUGUCUCGUUGCUGUCUUGUUCUGCAAGCACCUGAUUUAGGUACAUAAUGCUGGGAGAUGUGAUGUGGAGAGAACCCGUUUUCAUCUAAUCACUUGUAAUUUGAAUUGAUUCCCUGAAGCUAUAAGUGUUCUUUCCUUCAUCAACAUUUUUUUCUGUUGUUCUUGUAGGCAGAGCCCCAUGAAUUUAAGUAUUACAUAUUCUCUGUACUUACAAAUUCAAUUGUUUGAUCCACAACUAGAUUUACGGAUUAAAUUUAUUUAAUGAAAUAUUGUGAACAAACAUUUUUAAUAAACUGUUUAGUGUAUGACUUGUC